UACGGAGGGUGCAAGCGUUAAUCGGAAUUACUGGGCGUAAAGCGUGCGCAGGCGGUUUGUUAAGUCCGUUGUGAAAGCCCCGAGCUCAACUUGGGAAUUGCAGUGGAUACUGGCAGGCUGGAGUACGGUAGAGGAAGGUGGAAUUCCCGGUGUAGCAGUGAAAUGCGUAGAUAUCGGGAGGAACACCAGUGGCGAAGGCGGCCUUCUGGCCUGUUCUUGACGCUGAGGCGCGAAAGCUAGGGGAGCAAACGGG
rnacentral:rRNA from 1 species